UAUAGAGGUCUCAAGCGUUGUUCGGAUUCAUUGGGCGUAAAGGGUGCGUAGGCGGCGCGGUAAGUCGGGUGUGAAAUCUCGGGGCUUAACUCCGAAACUGCAUUCGAUACUGCCGUGCUUGAGGACUCGAGAGGAGACUGGAAUUUACGGUGUAGCGGUGAAAUGCGUAGAUAUCGUAAGGAAGACCAGUGGCGAAGGCGGGUCUCUGGACAGUUCCUGACGCUGAGGCACGAAGGCCAGGGGAGCAAACGGG
rnacentral:rRNA from 1 species